CUGCAGCUAAUUAAGCAUCAGGUCCCUUUCCCUGUGGCGGCCUGGUGUGCAAUGGUUGCAAACAGCAGCCUCCUUGGUAGUGUAUGCAGCCUGCUGCCUAUAUGGGUUGCCCUAUGGGAUGGAGACCAUU